UACGUAGGGGGCAAGCGUUGUCCGGAUUUAUUGGGCGUAAAGAGCGUGUAGGCGGCCAGAUAGGUCAGCUGUGAAAACUCGAGGCUCAACCUCGAGACGUCGAUGGAAACCGUCUGGCUAGAGUCCGGAAGAGGAGUGUGGAAUUCCUGGUGUAGCGGUGAAAUGCGCAGAUAUCAGGAAGAACACCUAUGGCGAAGGCAGCACUCUGGGACGGUACUGACGCUGAGACGCGAAAGCGUGGGGAGCGAACAGG
rnacentral:rRNA from 1 species